rfam:Providencia rettgeri DSM 1131 genomic scaffold Scfld6, whole genome shotgun sequence.
GAUGGACAUCAGCGAUUCAUUUUGUGAACCUUGACCCACCGCGAGAUAGGCGUUCAUUCCUAACUCUUUCAUUUGCUCUUCACCAAUGACUCGAGUGGUGAGUUUGCUGUCUGAAAUAUCUGCUAAUUGACGUGCUUGAGACGCUAAAUAACCUGCGUUACAGAUAUUUGGUGGCAUAUUACUUAAAUCUUUUGC